GAUGAACGCUGGCGGCGUGCCUAAUACACGCAAGUCGAGCGAACGGACGAGAAGCUUGCUUCUCUGAUGUUAGCGGCGGACGGGUGAGUAACACGUGGAUAACCUACCUAUAAGACUGGGAUAACUUCGGGAAACCGGAGCUAAUACCGGAUAAUAUUUUGAACCGCAUGGUUCAAAAGUGAAAGACGGUCUUGCUGUCACUUAUAGAUGGAUCCGCGCUGCAUUAGCUAGUUGGUAAGGUAACGGCUUACCAAGGCAACGAUGCAUAGCCGACCUGAGAGGGUGAUCGGCCACACUGGAACUGAGACACGGUCCAGACUCCUACGGGAGGCAGCAGUAGGGAAUCUUCCGCAAUGGGCGAAAGCCUGACGGAGCAACGCCGCGUGAGUGAUGAAGGUCUUCGGAUCGUAAAACUCUGUUAUUAGGGAAGAACAUAUGUGUAAGUAACUGUGCACAUCUUGACGGUACCUAAUCAGAAAGCCACGGCUAACUACGUGCCAGCAGCCGCGGUAGUACGUAGGUGGCAAGCGUUAUCCGGAAUUAUUGGGCGUAAAGCGCGCGUAGGCGGUUUUUUAAGUCUGAUGUGAAAGCCCACGGCUCAACCGUGGAGGGUCAUUGGAAACUGGAAAACUUGAGUGCAGAAGAGGAAAGUGGAAUUCCAUGUGUAGCGGUGAAAUGCGCAGAGAUACGGAGGAACACCAGUGGCGAAGGCGACUUUCUGGUCUGUAACUGACGCUGAUGUGCGAAAGCGUGGGGAUCAAACAGGAUUAGAUACCCUGGUAGUCCACGCCGUAAACGAUGAGUGCUAAGUGUUAGGGGGUUUCCGCCCCUUAGUGCUGCAGCUAACGCAUUAAGCACUCCGCCUGGGGAGUACGACCGCAAGGUUGAAACUCAAAGGAAUUGACGGGGACCCGCACAAGCGGUGGAGCAUGUGGUUUAAUUCGAAGCAACGCGAAGAACCUUACCAAAUCUUGACAUCCUUUGACAACUCUAGAGAUAGAGCUUUCCCCUUCGGGGGACAAAGUGACAGGUGGUGCAUGGUUGUCGUCAGCUCGUGUCGUGAGAUGUUGGGUUAAGUCCCGCAACGAGCGCAACCCUUAAGCUUAGUUGCCAUCAUUAAGUUGGGCACUCUAAGUUGACUGCCGGUGACAAACCGGAGGAAGGUGGGGAUGACGUCAAAUCAUCAUGCCCCUUAUGAUUUGGGCUACACACGUGCUACAAUGGACAAUACAAAGGGCAGCGAAACCGCGAGGUCAAGCAAAUCCCAUAAAGUUGUUCUCAGUUCGGAUUGUAGUCUGCAACUCGACUACAUGAAGCUGGAAUCGCUAGUAAUCGUAGAUCAGCAUGCUACGGUGAAUACGUUCCCGGGUCU
rnacentral:rRNA from 1 species